UCUCUAUACCAUACCACCCUGAACGCGCCCGGAUCUCGUCUGAUCUCGGAAACUAAGCAGGGUCAGGCCUGGUUAGUACUUGGAUGGGAGAGCAUGAGAUUUUUGAC
rnacentral:rRNA from 1 species